rnacentral:tRNA from 1 species
GGCUCCGUAGCUCAAUUGGAUAGAGCAUCUGACUACGGAUCAGAAGGUUUCAGGUUCGAAUCCUGACGGAGUCACCA